CAGGUGAGAAUCCUGUCCACCGAAUGACUAAGGUUUCCUGGGGAAGGCUCGUCCGCCCAGGGUUAGUCGGGACCUAAACCGAGGCCGAAAGGCGUAGGCGAUGGAUAACAGGUUGAUAUUCCUGUACCCGUUGUUUUUGUUUGAGCAAUGGAGGGACGCAGGAGGCUAAGGAAUGCAGACGAUUGGAAAUGUCUGUCCAAGCAGUAAGUCUUAGGUUGAGUC
rnacentral:rRNA from 1 species